rnacentral:rRNA from 1 species
GUGCCAGCCGCCGCGGUAAUACAGAGGGUGCGAGCGUUGUCCGGAAUCACUGGGCGUAAAGGGCGCGUAGGUGGCGACCCAAGUCAGUGGUGAAAGCUCGACGCUCAACGUCGAGUCGGCCACUGAUACUGGGUUGCUCGAGCACUGUAGAGGCAGAUGGAAUUCCGGGUGUAGCGGUGGAAUGCGUAGAGAUCCGGAAGAACACCGGUGGCGAAGGCGGUCUGCUGGGCAGUAGCUGACACUGAGGCGCGACAGCGUGGGGAGCAAACAGGAUUAGAAACCCUGGUAGUCC